UACGGGGGGUGCGAGCGUUGUCCGGAAUCACUGGGCGUAAAGGGCGCGUAGGUGGUUUGAUAAGGGUGUGGUGAAAGCCCGGGGCUCAACCCCGGGUCUGCCGUGCCGACUGUCAAACUCGAGGGCUGUAGAGGCAGACGGAAUUCCGGGUGUAGCGGUGGAAUGCGUAGAGAUCGGGAGGAACACCAGAGGCGAAGGCGGCGACCUGGACAAGCACUGACACUCAACUACGAAAGCGUGGGUAGCAAACAGG
rnacentral:rRNA from 1 species